AUUGGGUGGAACUGCAACUUGUUAUCACGCGAGACGACUUGUGUGGUGGGAUUUCUGGAGUUUACUGAUGGCAUGCCCUUGUCUUCAGAAUCUCCAUCUUUCGGUUUGAUGCGGAAUUUAACGCUUUCUUAUCUCUCAAAAACGGAGUUGGCUGGGAAGAGAGCCUCUGGCGUCAAGCUGAGAAAUCUCCAGUGACAGCUUUGACGUUGUCUGCGCUAGCACCAGAAUUGGACCCAAAUGAACCGCUCUUCUUUCUUGUGGCAGAUUCUACAGCGAAAGCCCUACUGCAUAUUGAUCAACCGUCAAAAGUUAAAAAAAUGUGCCGCCCCCAAGAAUAAAGCACCAGUACAAGCGGUACCAGCACCAUUCGGAUAGGCCUAGUGAUCGUCGAUUAGCACCAGGAAGUCGAAACAGUCCCCCCAGACUGAUUUCUCACAGCCUCUUUUGGGCGACCUCUCCGGUGUUGCCUGGCGCCCGAUAAAAAGCAGCCCAUUGAUCCUUCUCCAGUGUCGACUUACCAAGAUUCACUGUGUUGAUCUCUCUCUCUUUUUCUGUAUAUGUAUCGAUCCUUCUUCUUGUUCACUAUCCAAUGGUUCCUUUUGCAGAUAUGUUAUACCCAUCUGGAGUUUUCCACAUUGCCUGUCUGUGUGAGCAUCGACGUGACAAGUCGGUUACUUUUGCAGAUACGCUAUACUCAUCUUCAGUUUGUUAGUUGUUUGGGGCAUUUUGAUUUGGGCUUUUUUAUUUAUGAAGUGAAUUUGAGAUUUGGGCAUUUCACUCGUUAAAACAUAACAAUCAUUUGUUUUGAAAAGUUCUGCUUUUGAGCAUUUUACUAGGUUGUUCAAGAAAUUUAAAUGUUCUGUUCUCAGAUUAUGUAUUACAAUCAUUUGUUCUAAAGAAAUUCUUCUUUUCUUUCCAAGAAAGGUUAAGAUGUACUUCACUGAUUCACUUAUCUUCAUGAAAAGCACAAUGAUGAGCUUGCAAGAAGACAAAACUUGCUGAUCUUCACCAGCAUUCUCUUGUAUUGUGGUCCUGUGAUCAUGCAUUUUUAUCUUAGUCUUACUUUUUUUGCGGUAUGAUCUUCCUAGUGUGGGUGCAAAUUAGGGACACACAAUCAUAUUGCUGAUCUGAGCACAAAUAGUGUGGGUGCAAAUUAUGGAUACACAAUCAUAUUCUUGAUCUGGGUAUAAAUUGGGGGUGUAGAUGGGGUAGGAAGCUUUCUAAUCUUUCCUAGAGGAUUGACUUCUCUCAAUUGACCUUUGAAAGCAAAGGCAACAUUUUCCUUUUCCCCUUUCCUUUAACGUGAAGUGGUUCCUCCUUUUCGCCUUAAAUUUUGAGACAUUUAUAUCUUUGUGCCAAUCAGUAAUUCUCUACCAGCUUUCACAAGUCUGUAAUUUUAAGACUCCUUAAAUUUUUUUAUGAAGUAUGAGCUCAAACUGAGUUCAAAGAAUGAGAAAAUAUUUAUCUAAUUCAAAAUUGUUGAUUCAUGCAAGCGUGAUUUUUUGAAACAUAGAUUUUAUUUCUACUUUCUUUUUUUUUUAUGGUUCAUUGUUUCUCAUAAUAAAUUUGAAAACUUGUGGUGGCAAUGAGUGAAUCCAUUGUAUUUUCCACAUCAAAUUUGUCAUCCUGCAGUAGAAGAUAAGAAGCAAAUGAAGAGAUUUGAUUCAGUUCAGAGUGUUUUAAGAGGAUGAUGCCGAGAUAGUGCCGUUCACAAAUAUCUCAAGGAAUCAUCUCAUUGAAGUAGUCUCACAAAUUAUGGAAAUUGUAAUUAAGUCACAGGUGACUGGCCAGUGCACAACGUGUUGUCUUUGGCUAAAGAUACUGACACUACUUGGACGCAUGAGCACAUAAUUUUAGAUAAUUUUGGGCCAGGCUAAUGGAAUGUUUGUGCCUUCCUGCUAUAAGAGCACAGGGUAUUGAUGAGCAACAUAGAAAGUGGUUACCGUUAGCAUAUAUGAUGCAGAUUAUUGACUGCUAUGCACAGACAGUACUUGGCCAUGGUUCAAAUGUUCAAGACCUUAAGACUACAACAACGUGCGAUAGGAAUUCAGAUCAAUUUAUCAUCCACAAUCCUACAUUGACUCCAAGCAAAAUUCUCAUCUCACCCAUUGGCCAUCGCAUUGGCCUAUCUCUAACUCUCUCUCACACAGUGCCUUUCACCGGAAAGGGUGGCACAUUGUCCAGCUCUUCUGCCUGGUUCCUGCACCUUGCGGCAGCCGCCGGGAGCAUCGCCUAUAGGGCUUCUGUCUUGCAAGUUGGAGGUUUCCACUUCAGUUCUGGUUCUUACUACUUAGAUACUAUUGCUUAUUGAGGGAGCUGCUCACACGUCACAUGUAGAUAAAGGGAAUAAUCAGAUUUCAUCAAAAAUUCCAAAUGCACCUCCACCCUACAACAAUGGAGCUACAAGAUAUACCAUGCAUGCUUUCCAAUGGGUUCAUCAAGCAGGUUGUAUGCUACAUGUGAAAUUCAAGGAAGGUUGGUUGCAGAGUGCAUAACAAGAGGGUAAAAAAAGGUGUGGAAGUAUUUGCUUGAAAUUUGUACUAUUAACUUAUUGUUAGAUGUACACUUGUGUAUAUGCAGUACGACCACUUCUACUUCUAGAUUCAUUCUCAGAGAUGUUGACACUUUUUGGAUGAACAAGAUGAGCAUUUCAUCCUACUGCCCAUAUGAGAGCUGAAACUCCUAUCCAACCCCUCGUCCUCUUAUGGUAUACGGCCUGCUUUCGGUGCCUCAGAGGUGCCACCCCCGCCACACUUUAACUUGCGUGUUAGGUGGCCCAUCUUUUGCAGUAUAUAGAGUUGAUGUCUUGGGGAUUCAAAACAGAAAUUAGCUGCCUUCCAGCCCUUGCCAUGCUCAUUGCACCAAGACUCAAAGGUAUGGAUGCUUGGGUUUGCAAAUGUAAAGAGGUACAUUUUUCUCCUCCCAUAACAUAACUUACUAUCGUUAUUCUUGAGAAAAUCUGGUAUUUUUAGUAUAUGUAUGAAAUAAAAAUCACUAGUUUAUGGCACAUUUUGUAUAGAAAGUUUGUUUGCUAUAUCUGGUCUAAUGGGGCCUAUAAAAUCACUGUUCCUCAUUUUGAUUCCAUAAUGCUUUAGAUGAAAGCUUAUGACAGUCUGUUAAUGGAAAGAGCUCCUUUCUACAUACAAGCUAUUAUUAUAUGCAAUUUACUAGACUGAAGGUUGUGGUAAGUAUAGUGCAUAAUAACAAUUAUCACUGAAAAUUGUUAUUUUCAUAUAUCUUGCACUUGAUUUUGCCCACAUGCAGAUGGUGAAACAGACAUCACAUUAAAUUCUGUGCUCAAAAGAAAAAUAGAUUUAAACAGUAUUCAUGUUCCAUUGUUUAGGUAAAAGGAAAAAGCAAGAGAGAUUUCUUUUCUAUGUAACACUAAUAUUCUUCUCAUUCCUUUCUUGUCCUUAGGCAACCUCUAUGAUUUCCUUAUCCCAUCUUCUCACAGAUCUCCUUCGCUGUUUCUUUCUUUUCCUCCUACAUUUUGCUCUUUCGGUUUGUCAAAUUUUAUGAUGACAAACAUUUUGAUGCUUAUCUUUUGUUUUUAUGUUUGCUACUUUUCAAGUGUAAACAAAAAAUUCAGGUGUUUAAUAUCUCCAAGUUUAUUAUCUCUUUGCAAAAUUUUUUGCUUAAAAAGUGAGUUUUUUGUUAUUGUUUUCAUCUUCCCACUUAUAUACGUGCAUAGGAGAAGGGUGCACACAUUGUGAAAGUGAUGCAAAUCCGCAAGGAGUUGUAGAAGAAUCUAAAGUAAGGUUUUCUACUCUUACUUCCUAUUUUCUGAAAAUUUACUUCAUUUAUCUCAAGUUUGAAACCCUAUGAAGAUUUAUCAUUUUAACUCUUGGAGGUAAGAGGUUGUUGCCAUUGACCAGGUAGAGCUUGCAUUCAUAUUUGUUAUAUGCUUUGAUUUUGUCAAAGCUUUCUUGAAUGGUCAUAGUCACUUAGCUGGACUUAUUCAAGGGCUACCAUCUUGAAUGGUCUUGAAUGGUCAUAGUCACUUAGCUCGACCAUCUUGAACAUAACCUGAACCACCAUUGGUCAUGUUUAAAAUAAAAAAGUGAGAUAUGUUCUUUGUUAUGUGCUCAUUUGACAUUGAUUUUAUGGGUUUCAUAGACCAAUUUUUAGAAUAGGAGAAGUUGAUGCAAAAAGAAAUUGAAUAUCUUCAAAACGUGGUACAAGUAAAUGGUUUGCUCUGUUUUUACAUUUUCCUUUUCUUUUUUCUGUGCUUUUUUUAUCUAAAAAAUGGUGGUCCUUAAUGGUCAUAGUCACUUAGCUGGACUUAUUCAAGGGCUAAUUUUUAUCAAAAUUAUGUGCGUAAGCACCUCCAAUUAAGAUAUAUAGUUAGGCAAAGCAUGGUAGCAUUAGCAAACGGAGAUGGAGCUAUUUAUUUGAGGUUUCUUAAUCAAGGAUGCCAAGCUACUGCUCAAACCUCAUUUUCAAGUAAGUUAGAUGUUGAAAAUAUGUUCACCCAUAGGAGAACACACAUAGGCACUCCUACACCAUUUAUUCCACAAGAACAAAAACAUUAAUUUCCACGUGAUUUACAUAAUAUGGAACCUUGAUAUCCAUAUUUAUAGUGAAUUCAUCAUCCCAUAAACUAAAAUUAGUGCAACUCUUUGAUACCAAAUACCAAUUCAUUAGUUUCCAGCAUUUAAAAGAUCAAUUUCAACACUUUGAGAUUUUGCACAUUUUCAUAGACAAGGCACUCCAAGAAUCAUUUGAGAUUGAGGUGAUAGAUUGUGGUGCUUGCAAUAUAAUUACAUUACCUAGCUGAAGGAUGAGAAAAAACAAUCCACAUGCAACCGAUGAUUAUCUGGACCAGUUGACAGUAAUAUGGACUUUUGCCUUUUGCUUCCCUGGUGAUCAACUAAUAAGAUUUCAAUGACAAAAGAUUCUUUUAUGCAAGGGAUAGAUAUGCAAUAUUUGGAUUAUUUUUAAUGCAUCAAGCAAAAAGCUUUGAUGUUGUAUUUUAAUUUUAUGUACAAAAUUUUUGUGCAACUUAUAAUGAAAUUUAAAUUUGAACACGUAUUCCCCUUGCCGACAUAUCUACCGAAUGCAUGAAUAGGCAACCAUUUUUACAUUCAAAAAAAAAAAGAAGCCCGUCGGGUCCCCUCAUUUGCACCUCUUUUUUCACUCUCCUAUCCCUCCCGUUCUCUCCAUUUCUCCUCCCUUGCACCCCUUUCUCUAACCAUUGUCAUUGCCACUAGCAGGUUGAGGUGAGGGAGAAGAGACCCUAGAUCAUCGUGAAUGAGAGGUACAGAGGACAUCCACCACCAUCAGCCUCCUCAUUUCCCCCUUUUGUUUUCUUUUGCACUCUCCCUCCUGUGCUCUCCCUUUCCCCUCCCUCGUGCACCUUGCUCUACCAUUUGGCAUCCCCACCAGCAGCACCACCAGAUGAGGAUCAAAAGGUAGUUCCAACAUUUGAUUGAAUGAGUCUUACUGAUUCUAUUACAUUGUUGUGGAUGAAGUCCUUGCCUUAUAUUCAUUGUUCUUGAUCCAAACAAGAAUUAUAACGCUCUUUUGUUUUUCCUUUCAGAUUCAACAAUGUGUCAAUUAUAUUGUCACACACAUUUUUUCUAUAUGCAUUAUAUCUAGGUU